rnacentral:rRNA from 1 species
GAUGAACGCUGGCGGCGUGCCUAAUACAUGCAAGUCGAGCGAACAGACGAGGAGCUUGCUCCUCUGACGUUAGCGGCGGACGGGUGAGUAACACGUGGAUAACCUACCUAUAAGACUGGGAUAACUUCGGGAAACCGGAGCUAAUACCGGAUAAUAUAUUGAACCGCAUGGUUCAAUAGUGAAUGACGGUUUUGCUGUCACUUAUAGAUGGAUCCGCGCCGCAUUAGCUAGUUGGUAAGGUAACGGCUUACCAAGGCAACGAUGCGUAGCCGACCUGAGAGGAUGAUCAGCCACACUGGAACUGAGACACGGUCCAGACUCCUACGGGAGGCAGCAGUAGGGAAUCUUGCGCAAUGGGCGAAAGCUUGACGGAGCAACGCCGCGUGAGUGAUGAAGGUCUUCGGAUCGUAAAACUCUGUUAUUAGGGAAGAACAAAUGUGUAAGUAACUAUGCACGUCUUGACGGUACCUAAUCAGAAAGCCACGGCUAACUACGUG